rnacentral:rRNA from 1 species
CUGGCGGCAGGCUUAACACAUGCAAGUCGAGCGGAUGAAAGUAGCUUGCUACUGAAUUUAGCGGCGGACGGGUGAGUAAUGCUUAGGAAUCUACCUAUUAAUGGGGGACAACAGUUGGAAACGGCUGCUAAUACCGCAUACGCCCUACGGGGGAAAGCAGGGGAUCUUCGGACCUUGCGUUAAUAGAUGAGCCUAAGUCAGAUUAGCUAGUUGGUGGGGUAAAGGCCUACCAAGGCGACGAUCUGUAGCGGGUCUGAGAGGAUGAUCCGCCACACUGGGACUGAGACACGGCCCAGACUCCUACGGGAGGCAGCAGUGGGGAAUAUUGGACAAUGGGGGGAACCCUGAUCCAGCCAUGCCGCGUGUGUGAAGAAGGCCUUUUGGUUGUAAAGCACUUUAAGCGAGGAGGAGGCUACCGAGAUUAAUACUCUUGGAUAGUGGACGUUACUCGCAGAAUAAGCACCGGCUAACUCUGUGCCAGCAGCCGCGGUAAUACAGAGGGUGCGAGCGUUAAUCGGAUUUACUGGGCGUAAAGCGUGCGUAGGUGGUCUUUUAAGUCGGAUGUGAAAUCCCUGAGCUUAACUUAGGAAUUGCAUUCGAUACUGGGAGACUAGAGUAUGGGAGAGGAUGGUAGAAUUCCAGGUGUAGCGGUGAAAUGCGUAGAGAUCUGGAGGAAUACCGAUGGCGAAGGCAGCCAUCUGGCCUAAUACUGACACUGAGGCACGAAAGCAUGGGGAGCAAACAGGAUUAGAUACCCUGGUAGUCCAUGCCGUAAACGAUGUCUACUAGCCGUUGGGGCCUUUGAGGCUUUAGUGGCGCAGCUAACGCGAUAAGUAGACCGCCUGGGGAGUACGGUCGCAAGACUAAAACUCAAAUGAAUUGACGGGGGCCCGCACAAGCGGUGGAGCAUGUGGUUUAAUUCGAUGCAACGCGAAGAACCUUACCUGGUCUUGACAUAGUAAGAACUUUCCAGAGAUGGAUUGGUGCCUUCGGGAGCUUACAUACAGGUGCUGCAUGGCUGUCGUCAGCUCGUGUCGUGAGAUGUUGGGUUAAGUCCCGCAACGAGCGCAACCCUUUUCCUUAUUUGCCAGCACUUCGGGUGGGAACUUUAAGGAUACUGCCAGUGACAAACUGGAGGAAGGCGGGGACGACGUCAAGUCAUCAUGGCCCUUACGACCAGGGCUACACACGUGCUACAAUGGUCGGUACAAAGGGUUGCUACCUCGCGAGAGGAUGCUAAUCUCAAAAAGCCGAUCGUAGUCCGGAUCGCAGUCUGCAACUCGACUGCGUGAAGUCGGAAUCGCUAGUAAUCGCGGAUCAGAAUGCCGCGGUGAAUACG